UACAAACCAUCACAACAGAAAUAUGUGCUGUGAAUGACUCUUAAAGUUUGAAAAAUAACAAUUUAUCCUGGAAUUUAGCUGUCAGUAUAAAACACGCGCGCUAGACUAUAGCGGUGAUGUUAUGAUUUUGUUGUGCUUAAAUUUUGCAAUAAUUCUCACUAAAAUAUCUUGAAAAUCAUUGUAAGCCUGUUUACAUAAAGCAUACAAAGCAUAUACAUCGACAAGGAACCGCAAAACUCGAAGUUUGAACUUCGUGACCGAAUGACAUAAAACUGACAUGUCAACUCUAGCAUUUUCGUCCUUGGUCGCGUAAUUUUGAAAACGGGUGUAAACCUAGUUCCCGGAAUUUGGACAAGUCUAAUAUAAAUAUCAAUGGUUCACAUGAUAUGUUUGUUAUAAAAUCUAGUAUAUAAACUAAAUCUUCCAUUAAAUCCGAUGUAGUCAGCUUCAAUAGAAGAAUUAGUUUAUAUAGUUAUUGUUCUAUUAAAUAUUUAAUUGGGAGACACUUUGUAUUUAAAGGAUCAUGAUUAACCACAAAGCAAUGCGCGCUUUUGUUUACGUUUAUGUUUUUCAGUUACUUUGAUGGAUUUAAUAUAGGGUUGAGAAUAUAGGGUUAAGAUAAAAUUAAGGAAAUAGGGUGAAGAUAAGAUUAAGGAUAUAGGUUGAGAUAAGAUUAAGGAAAUAGGGUGAAGCUCGUCCUCAUACGAAAGCCCUGGGAACGAGGUUGAGAUUUAGGGUUAAGAUAAGAUUAAGGAAAUAGGGUGAAGAUAAGAUUAAGGAAAUAGGGUGAAGAUAAGAUUAAGGAUAUAGGGUUAAGAUAAAAUGAAGGAUAUAGGGUUAAGAUAAGAUUAAGGAUAUAGGGUUAAGAUAAGAUUAAGGAUAUAGGAUUAAGAUACGAUUAAGGAAAUAUGGUGAAGAUAAGAUUAAGGAUAUAGGGUUAAGAUAAAAUUAAGGAUAUAGGGUUAAGAUAAGAUUAAGGAAUAGGGUGAAGAUAAGAUUAAGGAUAUAAGGUUAAGAUAAAAUUAAGGAUAUAGGGUUAAGAUAAAUUGAGGAAAUAGGGUGAGGAUAAGAUUAAGGAUCUAGGGUUAAGAUAAGAUUAAAGAUACAGGGUUAAGAUAAGAUUAAGGAAAUAGGGUGAACAUAAGAUUAAGGAUAUAGGGUUAAGAAAAGAUUAAGGAAAUAGGGUGAAUAUCUGAUUAAGGGAUAUAGGGUUAAGAUUAAGGAAAUGGGGUUAAGAUAAGAUUAAGGAAAUAGGGUUAAGAUAAGAUUAAGGAAAUAGGGUUAAGAUAAGAUUAAGGAAAUAGGGUUAAGAUAAGAUUAAGGAAAUAGGAUUAAGAAAAGAUUAAGGAAAUAGGAUUAAGAAAAGAUUAAGGAAAUAGGAUUAAGAUAAGAUUAAGGAAAUAGGGUUAAGAUAAGAUUAAGGAAAUAGGAUUAAGAUAAGAUUAAGGAAAUAGGAUUAAGAUAAGAUUAAGGAAAUAGGGUUAAGAUAAGAUUAAGGAUAUAGGGUUAAGAUAAGAUUAAGGAAUAGGGUGAAGAUAAGAUUAAGGAUAUAAGGUUAAGAUAAAAUUAAGGAUAUAGGGUUAAGAUAAAUUGAGGAAAUAGGGUGAGGAUAAGAUUAAGGAUCUAGGGUUAAGAUAAGAUUAAAGAUACAUGGUUAAGAUAAGAUUAAGGAAAUAGGGUGAAGAUAAGAUUAAGGAUAUAGGGUUAAGAAAAGAUUAAGGAAAUAGGGUG